rnacentral:rRNA from 1 species
UGAGUAACCUGCCCUUAACUCUGGGAUAAGCCUGGGAAACUGGGUCUAAUACCGGAUAUGACUCCUCAUCGCAUGGUGGGGGGUGAAAGCUUUUAUGUUUGGUU